UACGGAGGAUCCGAGCGUUAUCCGGAUUUAUUGGGUUUAAAGGGUGCGUAGGCGGCCUGUUAAGUCAGGGGUGAAAGACGGUAGCUUAACUAUCGCAGUGCCCUUGAUACUGAUGGGCUUGAAUGUACUUGAGGUAGGCGGAAUGUGACAAGUAGCGGUGAAAUGCAUAGAUAUGUCACAGAACACCAAUUGCGAAGGCAGCUUACUAAAGUAUGAUUGACGCUGAGGCACGAAAGCGUGGGGAUCAAACAGG
rnacentral:rRNA from 1 species